AUUGAACGCUGGCGGCAUGCUUUACACAUGCAAGUCGAACGGCAGCACGGGUGCUUGCACCUGGUGGCGAGUGGCGGACGGGUGAGUAAUACAUCGGAACGUAUCCUGAAGUGGGGGAUAACGCAUCGAAAGAUGUGCUAAUACCGCAUAUACUCUGAGGAGGAAAGUAGGGGAUCGAAAGACCUUAUGCUUUUGGAGCGGCCGAUGUCUGAUUAGCUAGUUGGUAAGGUAAUGGCUUACCAAGGCAACGAUCAGUAGUUGGUCUGAGAGGACGACCAGCCACACUGGGACUGAGACACGGCCCAGACUCCUACGGGAGGCAGCAGUGGGGAAUUUUGGACAAUGGGCGCAAGCCUGAUCCAGCAAUGCCGCGUGAGUGAAGAAGGCC
rnacentral:rRNA from 1 species